UACGGAGGGUGCAAGCGUUAUCCGGAUUUACUGGGUUUAAAGGGUGCGUAGGCGGAUCUUUAAGUCAGUGGUGAAAUCCUCCCGCUCAACGGGAGAACUGCCAUUGAUACUAUUGAUCUUGAAUACAGUUGAGGUGGGCGGAAUGUGUCGUGUAGCGGUGAAAUGCUUAGAUAUGACACAGAACACCGAUUGCGAAGGCAGCUCGCUAAACUGUGAUUGACGCUGAGGCACGAAAGCGUGGGGAUCAAACAGG
rnacentral:rRNA from 1 species